CUAACAAUUCCCUCUCUCAAUUCCUCUCUCAUGCCGUCUCUUCUUUCAGUUGUUGGCAAGAAUUCCAGUCUUCUUCCUUCUCCCAUUAUAAUACCCUAAAUCUUCUGACUCUCCAAUCCCUCUUCUCGUCCCACACCAUUCAGAGAAGAUGAAGUUAUUGUCAUGGUUGGGUCUCCAUCCUCACGCUUGCCCCUCUCCACUAAAAUUCUUCAUCUUCCUCUAAUUUUGAGCCUUUUGUAACCCUAAUUUAGUAUGUUUUGGGUCCUGCCGUCUUCAAUGUACGCUCACUUCCUUACUAUUUAUACAAUUCCUAUUCCCUUCUUCCUUCGAAAACUCUUAAUUGACAGUAUUAGGCUUUUGUUCACGGUGAAGAUGUCAGUUUCAAUAAGUUAGAGGGGGAGAUUUCAAGAGACAAUGCAAGAAAUUUGAAACUGUGUGAG
rnacentral:lncRNA from 1 species